rnacentral:rRNA from 1 species
GACGAACGCUGGCGGCGUGCUUAGCACAUGCAAGUCGAACGGAAAGGCCCUGCUUUUGUGGGGUGCUCGAGUGGCGAACGGGUGAGUAACACGUGAGUAACCUGCCCUUGACUUUGGGAUAACUUCAGGAAACUGGGGCUAAUACCGGAUAGGAGCUCCUGCUGCAUGGUGGGGGUUGGAAAGUUUCGGCGGUUGGGGAUGGACUCGCGGCUUAUCAGCUUGUUGGAGGGGUAGUGGCUUACCAAGGCUUUGACGGGUAGCCGGCCUGAGAGGGUGACCGGCCACAUUGGGACUGAGAUACGGCCCAGACUCCUACGGGAGGCAGCAGUGGGGAAUAUUGCACAAUGGGCGGAAGCCUGAUGCAGCAACGCCGCGUGCGGGAUGACGGCCUUCGGGUUGUAAACCGCUUUCGCCUGUGACGAAGCGUGAGUGACGGUAAUGGGUAAAGAAGCACCGGCUAACUACGUG